UAUAGCAUGAAAUAAGAGGUUUUAAAAUAGCAACAUAAAUGUUUACGCAUUUCUCUGUCGCAGACGAUAAAGAGAUUUAGUUACACGUCAUCACACGAUGACUCUUUGCAACAUGACGAUAACUAAGAAUAUUCUACAUCCUCCCCUCUUCAGGUUUCACAAUACAAACUCCACUUAUUCAGUGCAUCUCAUCUGCACAUCUACAUGUGUAAGCUGUAAACAACUCCCAGUUUUAUUUUUGUCGAGGGUUUGUUGACAAUAUUUUUCAAUCUUGCGUACGUUUCCGGGUGUCGUAUGACAGGUGCAUCACACAGCUAUAUGUAUAAAAGCGGGAUCACAAAGCAAGGCGUUCCACAACAAAGACGAAAUGGCAGAGAAAACAGCAAUCCUAUUGUGGCUGAUAGUUUACGUGAUGUCCACUUUUGUACUGGUCACAGUGGAAGCAGUGUAUAAGCUUUACUCAAUAAUUUCUCCUCGGCGUAAUAUGGAAGCCGACGAUGAUGUCGAUAAUGACUACAGAAAAUACUAUGCUACUUGAUGCCAUGCAUGCCAUGAUACCACACCCUCAAAACAUACAAGAUCGAGACGCUCCUGACCCGAACCCGGAUAAGGGGUCUACAUGUACAUGUGCUCAAAGGGUCACUUCAUCUCCGACCGUUUCAUCGUGCAUAUUUCGAGAACAUGACAUCGUGUCGGGUUUUUUUUACAAUCAAGCUGAUGUGAUUUCUGAGGCAAUGAAAGAGCCGUGCAUAUCAGAGAAGAAAAACCUGACAAACAAAAGUAGUGUGAAUGCACUGAUACUUUAGCAAAGAUGUGAGUGAAAGAAGUGAAAAAGAAAACUGAAUUCAUCAUUCUUUCUACUGUACACUUACUGCAGGACUAAUUGCAGGAAAUUGUCACCUAUGGUUUCAGAUUCAAUAUUUUAUUUGAUUUUUUAUGAAGGAAAGGGGGAAAAAAUGCUUUUACUCAAAAUGUUGAAUACAUGUAUGUGUUGUUUGCAUCCAUUGUUCUAAAGACAUGCAUACUUCCUUAUGCCAGAUUUUUAAAAUUAUUUUUAAAGAUUCAGCUGACUUAUUUCCAGAUGCGUUCAUCAAACUCAAAUAAAUGAAGAAAAUAGAG